CCCUUAGAUGUUCUGGGCCGCACGCGUGCUACACUGAGUGGAUCAGCGGGUCAGGUUGCGCGAAAGCGUUUCCUAAUCUUUAAAUCCGCUCGUGAUGGGGAUUGACGGUUGCAAUUUUCUGUCAUGAACGAGGAAUACCUUGUAAUCGCGGUUGAUCAGCUCGCGUUGAAUACGUCCCUGCCCUUUGUACACACCGCCCGUCGCUCCUACCGAUGAAUCGUCCGGUGAAGUUCACAGAGUGGCGGUUCGUGGAGUUGCUCGCGAAGUGAAAUGGACCUCACGAUUUAGAGGAAGGAGAAGUCGUAACA
rnacentral:rRNA from 1 species